rnacentral:misc_RNA from 1 species
UGUCGUGCCACACUCGGCGCAGGAGCGCUGAGAGAAUCGAUUGGUCCACGCCCCAACGACUGUGUCAGCCAUGCUCGGCCUCGUCGUCGUAUUCGUUGUCGUCGUCCGGGGCGUCAGCUUCUGGCGCUGGCAGCCGGUACCGGCCGGGAGCGUCCCACGGCAUGUUGGCGCGCAUGACCGAGUCUUCGUCGGUCAGCGUGAAUGAGAAAAUCGACGGCCCGCCGUAGUAGUGGGUUUCCCAACCAU